GUUUCUGUAGUGUAGUGGUUAUCACGAUCUCUUUACACGCGAAAGGUCCUCGGUUCGAAACCGGGCGAAAACA
rfam:Salmo salar isolate Sally breed double haploid chromosome ssa06, whole genome shotgun sequence.